UCAGGCUCCUGGCUAGAUUCCAGG
rnacentral:miRNA from 1 species